GAUGAACGCUGGCGGCGUGCCUAACACAUGCAAGUCGAGCGAGAUAAAUGUGAGUGGAGACUUCGGUCAAAGCAAUCAUUUUGAAAGCGGCGGACGGGUGAGUAACGCGUGAGCAAUCUGCCCCAUACAAAGGGAUACCCACUGGAAACGGUGAUUAAUACCUUAUAAGACCACGAAGUCGCCUGGCUUAGUGGCCAAAGAUUUAUCGGUAUGGGGUGAGCUCGCGUCUGAUUAGCUAGUUGGUGAGGUAAUGGCGCACCAAGGAGACGAUCAGGAGCCGACCUGAGAGGGUGGACGGCCACACUGGAACUGAGACACGGUCCAGACUCCUACGGGAGGCAGCAGUGGGGAAUAUUGCACAAUGGGCGCAAGCCUGAUGCAGCAACGCCGCGUGAAUGAUGAAGGCCUUCGGGUCGUAAAGUUCUGUCCUAAGGGAAGAAUACAGUGACGGUACCUUAGGAGGAAGCCCCGGCUAACUACGUGCCAGCCGCCGCCGUAA
rnacentral:rRNA from 1 species